GGAAUAUUGGACAAUGGGCGCAAGCCUGAUCCAGCCAUGCCGCGUGAGUGAAGAAGGCCCUCGGGUUGUAAAGCUCUUUUGUCCGGAAAGAAAAGCAUUCGGUUAAUACCCGGGUGUUCUGACGGUACCGGAAGAAUAAGCACCGGCUAACUUCGUGCCAGCAGCCGCGGUAAUACGAAGGGUGCAAGCGUUACUCGGAAUUACUGGGCGUAAAGCGUGCGUAGGUGGUUUGUUAAGUCUGAUGUGAAAGCCCUGGGCUCAACCUGGGAAUGGCACUGGAUACUGGCAAGCUAGAGUGUGGCAGAGGGUAGUGGAAUUCCUGGUGUAGCAGUGAAAUGCGUAGAGAUCAGGAGGAACAUCCGUGGCGAAGGCGACUGCCUGGGCCAACACUGACACUGAGGCACGAAAGCGUGGGGAGCAAACAG
rnacentral:rRNA from 1 species